CUUUGCGAAAGUGGCGCUAAUACCGGAUGACGUUGUCGGGCGGCAUCGCUUGAUAACCAAAGGGCGGGGCUCGUAAGACCUGCCGGUUUUGGAGCAGCCUAUGUCCUAUCACCUAGUUGGCGAGGUAACGGCUCACCAAGGGAGCGACGGGUAGCGGGUGUGAGAGCAUGACCCGCCUCAUCGGGACUGAGACACUGCCCGGACACCUACGGGUGGCUGCAGUGACGAAUAUUGGGCAAUGGGCGCAAGCCUGACCCAGCAAUGCCGCGUGUGGGAGGAAGUCCCUCGGGAUGUAAACCACUUUUAGGGGUGGACAAGCGACUCGGGUGAACAAUCCGGGAAGUUGAGUUGCCCCAGAAAAAGCCUCGGCUAACUCUGUGCCAGCAGCCGCGGUAAGACAGAGGAGGCAAGCGUUG
rnacentral:rRNA from 1 species